AACAGAGUUGUUCUCUCCUGGUGCCAGCCCUGACAUCAUCUUGCAAGCUUGUCACACCGGUUCCUAUCCAGCUACAAAGGCCUCUCCUUGCUCCCUGCUCACACCAGCCAGCCCAGCAUAGCCUGCUGUAUUGCAUAUACCGGAGAGGCACCAUGGCUAGGCUGGAUCUCCAGGGAGAGACGAGAGGGACCUUCCCCAGCCUCUGACUUAGAGCGGCCCUGUAGAUCACGGCUGACAGGACAGCUGGUCAGGGAGCAUGGAGCGGGUGUUUAGAAGUUUGCUGACUGAAGAAAUGAAUGGAAGCUAGUGUCUGAGCCUGUCUUUGUUCUGAGUCAGGAAGCCAUGUGUCUUUGAAGAAGCGGCAGAUUCUGGACACCCUUACAACUCAG
rnacentral:sRNA from 1 species